rnacentral:rRNA from 1 species
AUUGAACGCUGGCGGCAGGCCUAACACAUGCAAGUCGAACGAGUGGCGGACGUGUGAGUAAUGUCUGGGAAACUGCCCGAUGGAGGGGGAUAACUACUGGAAACGGUAGCUAAUACCGCAUACUAUCGGAUUUGCCCAGAUGGGAUUAGCUUGUAGGUGAGGUAACGGCUCACCUAGGCGACGAUCCCUCCCUGGUCUGGGAGGAUGACCAGCAACACGGGAACUGAGACACGGUCCAAAUUCCUACGGGAGGCAGAAGUGGGGAAUAUUGGACAAUGGGCGCAAGCCGAAUGAAGCAAUUCCGCGUGUAGAAAGAAGGCCUUCGGGUUGUAAGAUACUUUGAGCGGGGAGGCGUUACCCGAAGAAGAAGCAACGGCUAACUACGUGCCAGCAGCCGCGGUAAUAC